rnacentral:rRNA from 1 species
CCUACGGGCGGCAGCAGUAGGGAAUUUUGCGCAAUGGGCGAAAGCCUGACGCAGCAACACCGCGUGAAUGUUAAGCCCUUCGGGGUGUAAAGUUCUGUCAAUAGGGACGAAUUUUGACUGUACCUAUAAAGGAAGCACCGGCUAACUCCGUGCCAGCAGCCGCGGUAAUACGGGGGGUGCAAGCGUUAUCCGGAUUUAUUGGGUUUAAAGGGUGCGCAGGCGGCGAGUUAAGUCAGCGGUAAAAUUUCGGGGCUCAACCCCGACAAGCCGUUGAAACUGGCUUGCUAGAGUGGGCGAGAAGUAUGCGGAAGGCGUGGUGUAGCGGUGAAAUGCAUAGAUAUCACGCAGAACUCCGAUUGCGAAGGCAGCAUACCGGCGCCCAACUGACGCUCAGGCACGAAAGCGUGGGUAUCGAACAGGAUUAGAUACCCGUGUAGUC